AGAGCGCUUUCAGAACGGCCGCAGAAAGUGGCAAGAGCCGUGGGAGAAGGGUUUGAAGUGGUGUGAGGGGAGGGUUAACGGCAGUGCCUUUAGCACGUUUUUAAAAUGUAAACAUUCACGCAGUGCCUUGUCGCCUUGCUGUUAACAGCGCUCUCCGCGGGAAGGGUGAGAACCCAGAGCCCUUGGCCGCAGCCUUUGACCCGUCAGAUUUCCUUCCACAGAGCCUCGUUUGUGGUCCCAGUGGCGGUGGCCAUGGACCUCAGGGACACUACAAAGCCCAAGGGCCUGCGCCAUACCCCACGCUGUCCUCGUGUCUGAGGUGAGCGCGCAGACCCCUCUAAGUAGAACCGAACAACACAGAAAUGAGGAAAACCCAGCCCACCGAUUAGGUGUCUGCUCACGUCUGUGGCAGCAGCCAGCCAUGUGCUGAGGCAGGGACCCAAGACGGGAUUAGCACCUGCUUCCGGGGACUUCUGACAAAGCUGGAUGCGAAGACAGGUUCUAGAGCCCCGGGAUCGGACUCCUCCCAGGAGAAUCAGACUGGCUUUGAUGUCCAUGAAUGAAAGGAGCUGGAGGAGCUGUGGCCCGCAGGAGGCCACUACCGCGACCCCAGGACACACGAGAAGCUGCGCAAGACCGAGGUGGUCGUGAGGACUGAGAGACUCGGGCUGCCGGGGCGUAAGAGGCGGACAUGAGACAAGCAGGGGCCUUGGGAAGGUGGCAGCAGAGCUUGUGGAGAGGGGAAGUGGAGAGGCCCUGUCUUCCUGAAACCGGAAACGAGGAUGGAGAAGCAGCUCUUCCUGAGAUGGCUGGCUUGGGACUUGGAGCCCAGGGCCCGGUCAGUUCCCAGUCUCAGUGGGCUUUUGGAAGAAGAGGGUGGACGGGGGAACUGGACAAGAGCCGGGGACUUCACUGGGCAGAACGCAGAUGCUAGAGAUCAAACGCAGGGCCUGCGAACACCAGGAAAGCACCCCACCUGAGCGACGCCGCAGCCCUGAUACCAUACGGUGGCAUUACCUUGGCCCCGCAGUCCCGACAGAAGCGGGAGAGAAUGCCCCGGGCCCUGCUGCCCUCAUCUGAGGCUUCCAUCUGGUGUGUACAGGUUUGACCGCAAAUGCAUCCUCGUCUGAGGACCUGGGUGCUGCUUCUCCCUGUGUCUUGCUGAGCUCACCGUGACUCCGGCCCCCUGCCCUCUACUGACCUCAGCACCGUCCCGGUGGAGCCCUGAGAGACCGCAGUGCAAGACCUGAGGCCCGAGGCUGUCGGAUGGGGCCCCACAGCGGGAAGCAGCCCUUGUGGCCACGAGGCCGCGGCCAGUGCUGGGCACCCGGGAGAAAGAUGCAGCCCGGUCCUGAUCACGGCUGUGACCUGGAGCUGUUACUGCUCCUCUGGAUGUCAGAUGCAGAGGGCGGAGUGCACAGGUGCUCCUACUGUCACAGCAGGAAGGGAGCUGGACAGGCCCCGGGGCCUGGGAGCCCCUGCACCCCACGUGUGGUGGCUCCACGUCCCCGCCCCAGGCAGGCGGUGUAGGAAACGCGGCCGCUGCCUGCUUCCCCUGUGCAGUUGCCACUGCCACAGGGCAGAGAUGGUUUGAGCAACAGCGAGUGGGAAGUGGGGGGGGAGACUGAUGGUGGGAACGUGGUGCCUGUCUGCUUCCUUCCGGCUCCUGGACCGCGCGAACCCAGUUUGGCUUGGGGAGAACCUUGGGGCCGUCUAGAACCCACCUUGGCACAGCCCAGCACUGAUGGGGGAAGAUGUCCAUUAACAACCUUGAGAAAUGGGGGUUUUCUUCUUGCCUGGCGAGUAAACACGUGUUUGGAAAUAAGAGCAUGGAACCAACGCUUGGGGCGCCCGUGGCCCACAGUGCUUUGGGUGACCUCUGACAAGCCAGCCAGAGGGGACCUGGGGCUGGGGCACCAGGGACUAGGGUCAAGGAGGCCUCUGCGGUGCGGCCUGGAGACUGGCAGGGUCCAUGGCUCAUAGCUCGGUAGCCGGGAGCCUGGAGGUGGGCAGAAGAAGCAAGUGGCUCCUCUCCGGCAAAGCUGGUGCUUCAUUCUCAAGGACAGCUGCCAGACUCUUGCCCUUGAAAUAAUUUUUCCAGGUCUUUCUAUUAGGAAAAUUUUAAUUUGGAGGACGAGGAGGGAGGCAGUGUGAAGACCUGGAAGGAACAGCAGGGUGGGAGCAGAGCCCUGUGACCCCCGACGGAAGACAGAGGUGACGACAGUGUGGGAGCCAGCUGGGGACAGCACCGGGGCCACAGGCAGGAGCGGCAGAGCUGGGUCUGGCCGACACUGCCCUCGCUUCCUCCCCGAAAUGUCCCUUCUGUAGACACCCGGACAGCCAGUAGUCUGCACAGAGGCAGCGGGCUCCUGGCCCUGACCCAGCCCCACAGUGGACCUCUCCACGCUGCCCCGCACCUCCAAGGCCACAGCAGCCCCAGGGGAGGAGGUGACACUGUCCUGACGACCCACACUUCGCAGGGAGCCCUGGGCCGCCUGGGAACUCUGAGUCACCCCUGCUUUCAGCAGCCGCGGAGGUGCCGUGUUUCUGGGAACGCACAGCAGACGGGGACGUGACAUUCCUGAGCUCGCGGCCAGCAGUCAGCCGCCCACUUCCGCGCUAGUCAUGGGGAACGGGAUGAAACAGAUUGACUUGACGUUUCACAUGCCUCCAGGAGGGACAGGGAGCCCGGCCAGAGCUCCGCCCCCUCUCCAGAGCAGAGCAGCACUACCCUGCCCAGGGGACAGGGGCAGGGAGCAAGGCUGCCCCGCAGCACCUGUGUGUGUGGGGGGGUGACAGGCACGGCUGCCUUGGAGACUCUGUCCGAGGUGGCUUAGAACAAGUCUGGGGAGAGGUGACCGCUCUCUGAAACACAUGGCCCGCGGCUAAACGUUUGUGCAUCUGAAUCCCAGAAAAAUGUCAUCUGUUAACAGGACAGUGAACACCCAAAGCAGGCAGUGUGAGCAGGCGGCCCCGCCAAGGGGGAUGUGAAGGCAGACAAGGACCUGGGGGGAGCCUGGGGACAGCUGGCAGGGACGAGGGGACAGGGUCCGUACACGAGGGGCCAGGCGGGUGCUACACCCUGGAGCCAGCCUCCCGGGGCCCCAGAAGCUGAGUGAGGACAGCUCAGGGCUCUGCUCCAGACGGCCGUACAGUGCUCAUCCUGGGCACCCUGAGAUCGGGCCUGGCGGAGGCUCUUCGGGGGUCUUGUCAGCGCCGUUCAAGGGCUGACCUGGGGUGGGUGGUCAGUGACAGCCGAAGACAGUAAGGAUGAUGACAGCAGGGCUGACCCCAGUUCCCCUCUGAGAUCACCUUAUGACCGGUGGGUGACGCCAAGCACCCGCUGGCACCUUCACCUGUGCUGUCAGAGCCGCGGCCCUAACUGGCAGGUGUGCUAUCAGCCCAUCCUACAGAUGAAGAAACUGAGGCUGGGAGGAGGGAGGUGACAGCUCACAGUGGCAGGGCCAGUGCUCAUACCAAGCACCAGCGGGCUCCAGCUUGCGGUAGCAAAGGGCUUGGAACCCAUUAACCUUGGGCCAAGGAGGGAGGGGUACCAGCAGUCUGUCUGGGUGCCUCAGGGAACAGACGGCAGGACGGGCAGGCAGGUGAGGGAGGAGGAAUUUGUAACUGGACCGGGCGCGACUUCAGCUGAACUCUUAACUCUCAAGUGUGUCUGCAGAGACUAAACAGAUGGAGAAUUCUCCUGCAGGGCAGGAAGCUUACCUGCUGGAACCACAGAUGCCUCACGUUCUCUUUCUUUGCUUAUCUGUGUUCUCUGAACCUUCUAGCAUCAAUGUGCAAGACUGAUAUCAAAGCAAAAGAAAAGCAAAAACUUGGAACUAUAAACUGAUGUUUUGGAAGAUAACUCGCCAGCCUCCACUUUCCAAAGCUGAAAAUCUGGCAUAGUCUUUGACCCUCUGCUUCCAAUUUUAGAAGACAAACAAGCAGGCAUAGACGUAUAUAAAAAUAUCUAAAGCAGAAGAUUAGAGAAAGCUUGGACGUAGUUUCCACGUCAAGAAUAAGGGAUGGAAAUAAACUUUGGCUUCGUCAUCUGGUUGGACACAACAGCCAGCAGUGUACGGGCUGUCACGGUGCCACGCUGUGAAUGUCCUUCCAAUGCUCAUGCUGGGACACAGUUGCCAUUGUGAUGGAAUGCAGAGGUGGAUGCAUCCCAUUACUGUGGGAGUGAGAUCCCCAUGCAGAGGAUGUUUGGCCCCGUGUGCUUGCCGUCUUGCCUUCCGCCAUGGGAUGACCCAGCCCAGGGGCCCUGUCACAUGCUCCCACCAUGCUCUUGGACUCUCCAGCAUCCAGAAUCACGAGCCAGACAAACUUCCAUGUUUAUAAUCUACCCAGUUGGGGCGAUUCUAUUACAGCAGCAGAAAACAAACUAAGACAUGAAACACCUACUCUUUAGCAGUCGGGUAAAUCCAUAGAAGCGAGCCAGUGGACAGCGCGUCCUACAAGUAUUUGGAGAAAUUAUGAAAGAAGGAAGAGUGGGGAAAAGCUCCCAAGAGGGGAACCGCCGAGGUCUUGCGGGCUACUGGUACAGUCCUUGCACUGUCGUCUUUGCGUUUGAAAGGAUGCCAGCCUAAUUCGCUUCGGUAUAUGACGCCAGGAUUUUUGAAAGAAAUAUUCAAGAUAAGUAUGGUUCACGGGGACCUAGAUCCAGAGCAGUCACUGACGGCAUCUGCAGAGA